rnacentral:lncRNA from 1 species
AGUUUGCAACUACUUUCUCGUAGAAUAGUUUCAUUAAUAUCAAUAGAACAUAUACUUCACCUAAAUGGACACAAAAGCUACAAUCACUUACUCUAUCAUCCGAAACAUACUGGUUGACUAGUAUCUAUACUCCUACUGAGUAUAACUCUCCAUUUGCGGAUAGAAUAUGCCAAGCACUACAACCAGCAGAUACGUUUCGUCCAAAACAC